GAAUCAGGGUGCUGGCCAUCCACUGAGCCUGGCCCUGGGGUAUGUGGCAGGGGCAGGACGGGCUCAGGUCUGGGUACCACCCCCCUCCAACCCCAGGUCGCAGGGGUGUGGAAGGUAUUCUGCUAGGUAGUGACUCCCUUCAUAGGGCUAGACCUGCUGGGGCCUGAAGCUGGUUAUGAAGAGAAAUCUAAAACAGUUGCACGCGAGAGGGGUGGGGUUCGUCCUAAGAGGCCUUUGUCACUGAAGCGGAUGUCGGAGAUGACUUGGGUUUUCUCUGCAAGUGAAAAACCUCUGCUUGUGAGAAUGAACAGGAAGGAGGGUCUCCUUAGGGCCACAGAUUGCUUUCCACGUCCUUCUAUCAUGCAUGUGUAAAG
ensembl:lncRNA